GACGAACGCUGGCGGCGUGCUUAACACAUGCAAGUCGAACGGAAAGGCCCUGCUUGCAGGGUACUCGAGUGGCGAACGGGUGAGUAACACGUGGGUGAUCUGCCCUGCACUUCGGGAUAAGCUUGGGAAACUGGGUCUAAUACCGGAUAGGAGCCAUCUUUAGUGUGGUGGUUGGAAAGUUUUUUCGGUGUAGGAUGAGCUCGCGGCCUAUCAGCUUGUUGGUGGGGUAAUGGCCUACCAAGGCGGCGACGGGUAGCCGGCCUGAGAGGGUGUACGGCCACAUUGGGACUGAGAUACGGCCCAGACUCCUACGGGAGGCAGCAGUGGGGAAUAUUGCACAAUGGGCGCAAGCCUGAUGCAGAGACGCCGCGUGGGGGAUGAAGGCCUUCGGGUUGUAAACUCCUUUCGCUAGGGACGAAGCUUUUUUGUGACGGUACCUAGAUAAGAAGCACCGGCUAACUACGUG
rnacentral:rRNA from 1 species